rnacentral:rRNA from 1 species
AUACGGAGGAUCCGAGCGUUAUCCGGAUUUAUUGGGUUUAAAGGGUGCGCAGGCGGCCAUUUAAGUCAGCGGUUAAAUCGUGGGGCUCAACCCCAUUCUGCCGUUGAUACUGGGUGGCUUGAUUGCGGUCGAGGUUGGCGGAAUUCGUUGUGUAGCGGUGAAAUGCAUAGAUAUGACGAAGAACACCGAUUGCGUAGGCAGCUGACCAGAUCGCAAAUGACGCUCAUGCACGAAAGUGCGGGGAUCGAACAGGAUUAGAUACCCUGGUAGUCCGCACAGUAAACGAUGAAUACUUGUUUUCGGCGAUAUAAUGUCGGAGGCAAAGCGAAAGCGAUAAGUAUUCCACCUGGGGAGUACGCCGGCAACGGUGAAACUCAAAGGAAUUGACGGGG